ACGACUGAAGCUAUGCAAUUGCAACCAAGACCUGCACGAAAGAGGAGAUGGGUUGCAAGUGAGGCCAACUAAAGCGAAUGUUUCAUCAAAUGCCAUUGGCUGUGUGCUCAUAUUAGAGUAUCUGCCUCUUAAUUCACCUUCAUAACUGGAUCUGUAUAGUGGCACUCCACCUACAGAAAUGUCUGCUGAUGGUAGUCAUAUUAGAGGAUCUGCCUCUUAGUUCACCUUCAUAACUGGAUCUGUAUAGUGGCAUUCCACCUACAGAAAUGGCGGCUGAAGGUAUAUCUGGGGUUAAGAAGAAUACUUUUCUCCAUGAAAAGAGGGAAAAAAGAAAACACUUCUAAUAAAGGAUAGUAUUAUGUCUCUGCUAAACUACGUUUUUCCUCUUAAAAGUAUAAUUGAUUAUUUUGAUGUCAAAAGGAUUUAAGUUGCUCAUAGCAGGCUACAAGUGAUGGUAUGAUUUGAGUUCUUAGAUUUCCCUAUUUUAGGGGAGGUAAUUCAUUGGUGGCUCCAAUGUAUAAUGUCUCAAUUCUUAGGUUUGUCAUCUUGCUUGUAGUUCCUCAAGUAGGUUUUGGAAGCAGUGGCAUGGAAAUAGCUAUUCCUGUUCGAUCCCGUGGUUCGGAGCUAUAGAUAUUUGUCUUCUGCUUUACGAGCUUAUUUUUCAUUUUGUUUUCCUUGUUUAUUAACUUAGUACGUACAACAAUUGACUCGAGGAUAAUUUUGGUGUCUGAAUUAUUGCAAGUCGUGGAGACUUAUGGGUAGUUGGACUUUACAGAAUACAGGGCGUUUGGCUAAGCUUAUUAGCCGGUCAACCUAGCUUAUAAGUAUUUUUUGGCUUAUCUAAGCGUUUUGGUAAAGUUAAAAGUGUUUAUAAGCCAAAUGAAUUUUUAGCUUAUAAGCAUUUUAAGUUUGACGAAGAUUUUUACUAUUUUAUCCUUAAAAUAUUUCUUUUUGGA
rnacentral:lncRNA from 1 species